GAAAAUUCAUGUUUUUAUGUCCCAAAUUUGAAAGUUUGCAAAA
rnacentral:sRNA from 1 species